UGUGCGUAUGAAAAAAAUACAGUGUAUACGUGAAUAUGAUCAUCCUGUCCUUUAUUAUUAAGAGGUAUCGAUUAAUCUGGACCAUCUUUGUGUUUAGGAAGUGUAUCGAAGCAGAAGUGUAUUAUCUAAAUUAAUACAACCGAAAUAGACUUUCACCAUGCUUUAUAAAUAAAGCAACCAACAAGCCUAUACAAUGAGUAGAAA
rnacentral:lncRNA from 1 species